CAUGGCCAGCCUGGGUGAGGAUCCGAGUCCUUGGAUCUGAGAGGGACUGAGAGGCCUGGGCUCUGGCCAUGUGGAUUUGGGCUGGCAGCCUGGGUCACAGAGGAACAGAAGAGGGCAGGUGAGGACGCUGUGGAUCUUUCUAGAAAUACAUGUGGACGUUUGCAAAUGCAGAACUGAGUGGUGGAAAGAGGGAGCAUGAGCUGCUGGAAAUCUGACCCUCAAGGAUCCUGUGUGUUUGACAGACCAGAAUCUCCCUCUCUGAGCUGUGGAUGCCCAAGACGAAAGAAAGCAAACGCGCGACGGGUAUCGGUCUGCAGAUGCCUCAUAACAAACAGCCCCCCACCCCCGGUGGAGGAGAGGAGGCGGCUCUCGCUGCAGACGGGCCUCACAUGUCUCUAAUCUGCCACCUAUGGCCUGUGUGACCCUUGUUAGUGACUGUCUCCCUGCCCCUCAAUUUCCUUUCAAUAAGUAGGAUAAAUGCUAUUUGGCUGUGAGGUUGUUUGUGAAUUAACCUCAAAAUAUUUAUAAUUACUUGAUCUCAGCUCUGCACAGAGGAGCUGUCCAAGUGAAGAGCACCUAUGAUUAUUUGCCUUCAAGAGACAGGGCCCUGGGCCUGAUCCCUGGUGGACAAGGAGCUGCCAGGAGCGUCCUCUCUUCUCUGUUCCUCCCUCUGGGGACUCUGAACUUCCCAGGGAGCCACCUGUGUCCCCCAGGGCAGUGGGCUCAUGCCCUAGUAAUUUUUUCCACUUGUCCUUUCCAUGUUGAGCCUCAAGUGAAGGAAGAGGUCCUGUCCUUGACUGGAUGAGGCUCUGGGUGCUGGGCCCCGGCUGGUGGCCAACUCCAGGAGUCAUGGCCCUUGGAUAGUCACAUCCUUGCUCCCAGUCAGCCCUGCCCAGGAGGAUACCACACAGCCCUGGCACAGACUCCCCAGGAUCACCUGGAAUCAGGAACCAAGGACAAGGCUUUGCACAGGGGCUCAGCUCUAGGAAGAGUAGAGCUUCUCAGUGAGGAUCCCAGGGGGCCCCUCAGGCCAGCCCUGACCCAGUUCUCCAGGGUCUUCUCAGGGUCAGGUGCAUGGGGAGACCAUGGGGUGCUUGGCUGAGAUGGACCUCCCCCUGCUCAGUCCCCCCAUCAGACUGUCCUUCCUCUGCAGCGAGUGUCUGCAGGGUCUGGAUGCAGGAAGGGGAUUCUGAUCUGUGGAAGUUCAUCUCCCCUGUGUGUGUCCUGCACUAAAUACCCAAACCCUAACACAGGAUGUAAUGCAGAGGGGGACACAGGCACAGCCCAGCCCUGAGAAUCCCGUGUGUGGGAAGCAGACUGACC